rnacentral:rRNA from 1 species
UACGAAGGGGGCUAGCGUCGUUCGGAAUUACUGGGCGUAAAGCGCGCGUAGGCGGCGAUCUUUGUCAGGGGUGAAAUCCCGGGGCUUAACUCCGGAAUUGCCUUUGAAACGGGAUCGCUUGAGUCCGAGAGAGGAUGGCGGAAUUCCUAGUGUAGAGGUGAAAUUCGUAGAUAUUAGGAAGAACACCGGUGGCGAAGGCGGCCAUCUGGCUCGGUACUGACGCUCAGGCGCGAAAGCGUGGGGAGCAAACAGG